CCUACGGGUGGCUGCAGUGAGGAAUAUUGGUCAAUGGACGAGAGUCUGAACCAGCCAAGUAGCGUGAAGGAUGACUGCCCUAUGGGUUGUAAACUUCUUUUAUAAAGGAAUAAAACGACGCACGUGUGCCUUUUUGCAUGGACUUUAUGAAUAAGGAUCGGCUAACUCCGUGCCAGCAGCCGCUGUAAUACGGAGGGUGCGAGCGUUACCCGGAUUUAUUGGGCUUAAAGGGAGCGUAGACGGGUUGUUAAGUCAGUUGUGAAAGUUUGCGGCUCAACGGUAAAAUUGCACUUGAUACUGGCAGUCUUGAGUAUAGUUGAGGUAGGCGGAAUUCGUGGUGUAGCAGUGAAAUGCGUAGAUAUCAGGAAGAACAUCGAUUGCGAAGGCAGCUUACUAAACUGUGACUGACAUUGAGGCUCGAAAGUGUGGGUAUCAAACAGGAUUAGAUACCCGUGUAGUC
rnacentral:rRNA from 1 species